AUGAACGCUGGCGGCGUGCCUAAUACAUGCAAGUCGAGCGAACAGAUGAGGAGCUUGCUCCUCUGACGUUAGCGGCGGACGGGUGAGUAACACGUGGAUAACCUACCUAUAAGACUGGGAUAACUUCGGGAAACCGGAGCUAAUACCGGAUAAUAUAUUGAACCGCAUGGUUCAAUAGUUAAAGACGGUUUUGCUGUCACUUAUAGAUGGAUCCGCGCCGCAUUAGCUAGUUGGUAAGGUAACGGCUUACCAAGGCAACGAUGCGUAGCCGACCUGAGAGGGUGAUCGGCCACACUGGAACUGAGACACGGUCCAGACUCCUACGGGAGGCAGCAGUAGGGAAUCUUCCGCAAUGGGCGAAAGCCUGACGGAGCAACGCCGCGUGAGUGAUGAAGGUCUUCGGAUCGUAAAACUCUGUUAUUAGGGAAGAACAAAUGUGUAAGUAACUAUGCACGUCUUGACGGUACCUAAUCAGAAAGCCACGGCUAACUACGUG
rnacentral:rRNA from 1 species